rnacentral:rRNA from 1 species
GAUGAACGCUGGCGGCGUGCCUAAUACAUGCGAGUCGAGCGAACAGACGAGGAGCUUGCUCCUCUGACGUUAGCGGCGGACGGGUGAGUAACACGUGGAUAACCUACCUAUAAGACUGGGAUAACUUCGGGAAACCGGAGCUAAUACCGGAUAAUAUAUUGAACCGCAUGGUUCAAUAGUGAAAGACGGUUUUGCUGUCACUUAUAGAUGGAUCCGCGCCGCAUUAGCUAGUUGGUAAGGUAACGGCUUACCAAGGCGACGAUGCGUAGCCGACCUGAGAGGGUGAUCGGCCACACUGGAACUGAGACACGGUCCAGACUCCUACGGGAGGCAGCAGUAGGGAAUCUCCGCAAUGGGCGAAAGCCUGACGGAGCAACGCCGCGUGAGUGAUGAAGGUCUUCGGAUCGUAAAACUCUGUUAUUAGGGAAGAACAAAUGUGUAAGUAACUAUGCACGUCUUGACGGUACCUAAUCAGAAAGCCACGGCUAACUACGUG